ACUAGGGCUGAGACGAUUAUAAUCGUGAUUAAUCGCAUCCAAAAUAAAAGUUUGUAUUUACAUAAUAAAUGUGUGUGUACUCUCAAUGUAUAUAAUUAUUUUUUACGUAUAAAUACACACACAUGCUUGUAUGUGAGUGGAGGGAGGUGCACAGGGGUUGCCCAGGUUGCCCUUUUCGACUCACGUUGCCCUUCUGAGGUGAAAAAAAAAUCAGAAUUUCACGUAGGCCUAGAUGAAAAAAAAAAAAAAAAUCGCAAAGCCACAUUCACUUCCAUAUUCGGGCACCGAAAGUGAAAGUUAGUAGUGGAAGGCCAAACUCUGUUUACGUGGCUACAGCUGCCGGGUGAGACGACUCAACGUUGUCGGAAAAGCCAAGAUGCCCACUGAAAAGAGGCGGAUUCAGGAGAGGGGGAGGCAGCAAAGGGCCGCACUACAGGGUUGGCCGCGAAAAAGCCAAUCAGCUGAUCACAAGCCUCCAGACCAUGUGAGGAAAAUGUGGACCAGGAGGAGGCACAUGGGGCAGGUAUGCCUAAAGCCGAGUUCAGACUGCACGAUUUUCAAAGAAGUUGGGUCACUGUUCUUUUCACACUGCAUGACUAUCUUAGCCAGCAUUCAGUCACUGCUGUGUUCACACUGCACGAUGGAUCGGCGACAGAAGGUUUCACACUGCAUGACUUUAAAACGCAAACUACAUUUCACAACCAAACACUCACGAGAUGUGACAAGAAACAACGUGAUAUCACAUGUGCAAGCCUGGAGUUUUCACGUGAGACUGCGAUAGCUCAGAUGAAAUGUCAAACAGACACGGGUGCUCCUGCUAAAUCUAUACUAAUUUAUCUUCCAUUUCAUGGGUCCAAACAGACCGAGAAGAAAGCCUUUUUCUGAAAUGACGCCAUGCUUGCUGAUAUUGUGGUCUAUUACUCAUAUAACUCUGCAACUGCCCCUCAAAAUUCCUGUGCACAUCCCUGUGUGAGGGCAAAUAUUUCACACCGUCUUCCAAUCCUAGUGAUGUCCCUGACUGCAUGGAAGACUGUAUCCCACAUUCCAGUGCACUCAGUUUGACCUUCCAUUUCCAGUGUGGUGAAGUAACUGUAAGAGAUUUCUAUUCAGUAUUCAAUCUAGGUGACAUGUUUUUACACAAAAUUGAAUGCAAAAGUGUUAAAUAUAUUUAUACUAUAUCCCAAAAUGCAAUGAUUUCAUCUUCCAUCUACACAUUUGCAGUGUGAAAAAAAGAAGAUAAUUAACAUUCCAUUCAUAGGAAAGGCUACUGUUUUACUUACAUUUUUAAUAGUAAAACAGUAGGCCUCGUAGUAAAUUCUAUAUAUAAAAUAAGAAAUUCAAUAAGAAAGCUAGUCCAUUCCCAACAUCUUCUCUCCCACACAGACAUACUGUGAUCUCUAGAUCAAAACAUUCCAAUAAAACAUAUUUUCUGUGUGACUAACACACAAACAGAGGGCCGGGCUGCAGAGCUCACAGGCACAUGUGAUGACAGGGCUUCCAGGAAGCAUGUGUGUUCACAGCCAGCACUAUGUGUGAGGUUUGGGCUCAGGUGCUGUAGUACAAGGCCGAGGCUGUUAUCUCUCUUCUCUCAGAUGAGCCUCUAUUGAAUGUUUCAGAGCUGCUAUUACAGUUCUGACUUAUGAUUCUAAUUACCCAGAUUAUAUAAUUAGCUAGUCAAUGUCUGCAUCCUGCAGGGGUGAAACGCACACGCAGAUGUUUAUGAAAGUACCCGGGGUUGCGUGUGCUUUAAGAGAAAUGAUCGUCUUUUGGUAAAGGCCCAUGACAGACUUGUGAGGUGGUUGAGGGGUAAUUGUGUGGUUUGAUGCUGCAAACAAAUUUUCACAAGAGAAAAACCACACGGCUGAAAAGAAGCAACAGUUUGAGCGCCAGACAGAAGCCCUGUAGCCCCGGGACAGACCAGAGCUGUCACAGCCUAUGAUUCUCAUCUGUCCUGUUUUGUUCAUAUAUCAUGUCGUUUUCCCACAUGGAAAGA